GGAGAGGGUGGGGACAGGACUAGCAAUAUGGUUCUUCCCUUCCUGUCCUCCCCUGAAGGGGGGCGGGGAGGGUCAAGGAAAGCUGUGGUUCCCGGAAUGGGGUACUCACCAAACUUUGCGUCAGCAGUAAGCUUCAGGAUCUUCUCAUACUAUGGGGAAAGGAGGUCCUCAGGGGGUGCCAGAGCCCUGUCUCCAGCCCCUUGCCCCUAGCCCAGAUCCUUCGGUAAGGAAUGUUCUGGGAAGGAAGGGGAUGUCCAAAGGGGCUGAGAGGCUGCAGAACAGACUUCUAUAGGGCUCAUAAGGUUAUCGGACAAUGGAAUGUUGGGUCCUGUACUCACAUCAAUGCCCUGCCCCAGAAGCUCCUUUAGCACUUGGCUACACAGCAGCCGCAGCUUCACAGAGGACUGGAAAGAAUGACCCUGUUUCAGCCAGUCUGACCUACACACCUUACCCCUCAUUUCUGGAGGAUUGGCUGAAGAAGAGCGUGACCACAGUCACAGUCACAUAGCAUGGUGGCCCCACGAGGGAGACUCCGCUCCCCCCACUCCCAACUCCCCCCACCCCUGGCUCCCAGUCUCAAGCUCCUCCCUCCUCCCCCCAAAUCCAAGUAAACCGGUGCACUCAACAAUCUUGGCCAGUGUGCUGAUCUCUGCCAGGACCCAGUCAGGACAGUCCAGAUCGCCACAGAACCGGAACCUCUGUAAGAGGGUAAGGUGGGAAGUCAGGCUGCAGAAAGGGCUGAAUCAGAGCCUCGGGCAUGUCUACCACUGAGUUACAGCAUCAGAUCCUACUUCCCAUAAUUUUCUCUUUAUUAUAAGGCACUGUGGGCGGUCGGAGGGAAUACUAGUUUGAUAAUGGUGAUCCAAGUCCCAGCAAGAUUUGAUCUUUGCUUAUCUCGCCCCAUCUUCACGAAGCUCUAGCGAGACAAGACGUGCACUCUCCUGGGGGCCUAGCUCUUUCAGAGGCUGCACAACUGUUCCGUCUUAGGACACCCUUCUGUUGCCGCUGCUUCCCGAAAGGAUUACACAAACUACCCUUUACCGAGAGGGCUCAAAAAGUCUCCGCGGUUGGAGAAAGAACUAUGCCUGCCAAUCCCUGCUUCUGCCUUGCCCUCUCCUUUUGCAGCUGAAAUCCCGAUGCCUGUGCUGGCUGGACGCUCAACAAGAAUCUGCUGAAUGAAUGGAUGUAUGAAUCAGGAAGCUCAAUCCAAUCAAGAACCACUUCCUGGCUCUGGAAAGCGGAGAGGUUUCCUAACGGUGUGGACCCGUCCUAAGCAUAUUCUCAUCUUCAUCACCCGACAUAUGAGGAAGUGGGCUCCCGCGGGAGGUCCUCGUGGGGCCGUGUGGAGUGUGUGAGAAUCCGGGUGGGUCCCUCCAGGCCCAGGGAUGAACGCGGUCCCGUGCCCAUGCUGUGAUGCGUGGCUGCGCCUGCGGACUCGGUCGCCCCGCCGCACCCAGAGGCACCAGUGAAGAGUCUCUCUCUACUCUCCUAGAGCCACCAAGCCUCUUCUCGCCCGAAACCCAUCUUCGCAUCUCUACUAAUCCCUCACCAUGGUGCCAAGAGACCGACUCCUUCCAGGACUUCUUCCGGCUCAACACAGGUCAGCUGACUCGGCGGUCACGUGACUCCGACUGGUAAAGGCUUAGAGGGUGGAACGUUAAGGUGAAAACCUACUACUGAGAGUAUGUAUGCGCGUACCUCCUGAUCCCUCCUAGAACGACCAGACUGCCCGCGUUUCACCGGAAUUACCAAGGCAGGAAGAAAGGGGUGGAAAAAAUUUCAUUAAGUUGGAGGCGGGAUCCCACAAGCCAGGCUGUUUCAGGCGGGUUCCGUGAUUUCCUCUGGGAGCAAUUCCGUUAUGUAUGGAGAGUGGAAAAAUGUUUUUAAAAGAAUCUUACGGAAUGCCCAGGGAGUGAGGGCUCGCACCGGUAGCGCCAAACCUUGAGAGACUGUGAGGCAAGAGGAUCAGAGGUUCAAGCAAGCCUGGACUACAAAGUGAGAACUUGUUUCCCCAAACUUAAAACUCCCCAGAUGGCUUAGAGAAGCACCCAAGUUCGUUCCCGGCACCUGCGUAUAAAGGCGGAAGGCGAGAACCGACGCACAGAAAUUGUCCUCGACCUCCACAUACGCACCGUGGCACAAAACCUUUAAGGAUGACUGGAAGCCUGAUGAUCAAGCAUUGGGCUGAUAGAAAUGGACAAGGAAUCUUACUGCCAGCAUUUCCAGGGUCUCCUUCCAGGCCUUUACAGGACUCCUGAUGUUACCAGGAUUUUAGGAUAAUAGACUGAACCUUGGGAGCCCCAACAAGGCAAGGAACUGCCCAUGCCUCGACCACUGACAUAGUACAUGGUGUCUGGACUGGACAAGC